GACGGAGGGUGCAAGCGUUGCUCGGAAUCAUUGGGCGUAAAGGGUGCGUAGGCGGCUUGGUCAGUCUGGCGUGAAAGCCCAGGGCUCAGCCUUGGAAGGGCGCUCGAAACUGCCAAGCUAGAGUGCCGGAGGGGAGAGUGGAAUUCCUGGUGUAGCGGUGAAAUGCGUAGAGAUCAGGAGGAAUACCGGUGGCGAAAGCGACUCUCUGGACGGCAACUGACGCUGAGGCACGAAAGCGUGGGGAGCAAACAGG
rnacentral:rRNA from 1 species